AGGAUGAGCUCCAAACCACUACCAAGAACUAUGAGAGUCAGCUGAGCAUGAUGAGCGAACACCUGUGCAGUAUGAAUGAGAAGCUAACCUCUCAGAAAGAUGAGAUAGAUGCCCUCAAGCUUUCCAUUAAGCAACAAGGCAAGAAAGGGAGGGGAAAGUGAACACACACACGCCAACCAUCAAGGUACAAAAAAUCAUGGAACUUCAUUCUUCAAAAAGUGUUUCAUCACUGGAUAUAUAUUUUUUCUUUUGUUUCCCAGAGGAAAUCAUGAGAAAGCAUGUAAACGAGGCAGGACCUUGGAAUUACCAAAAAACACAUUUCACCUGCUUAUGAAUUGCUCUUAAUUAUGUAAAGGUAUAAUAAUGACCAAAUCAUUCUUCUAAUGCGUCCAUGAUCAAACUCUGUUUGCUAUGUAACCUAUCUAAAUUCAAGGAGAAAUAUCGUAAAGUUUUAUUUGUUUGAAAUUAAUAUAUAAAACAAUAGACUUCGUGUAUUUCCAAAGUGGUAAAGUACUCCCAAUUGCUACUGUGAAAUUUAAGCCAUGCCUUAUUAAAGUAAGUGUAUUCUAAACCUUUUACUUUAGAAAGUUGUUCAUUUUCUAAAUCUUGUGACAAAUGUGUAGGCUAGCCUUAAUUGUAAGUAAAUAUUUUUAACUAUGUGGGUGUGCAAGGUAUAGUUUCUUCAAAACAUAAGAAAUAUGCAACAUAUGGUACAAUUUAGCUGCUUUUUGACAAAAUGGAGCUAAUUUGGCAUAAACAGAAUUUCACAAAUUUCCUGCUACAAAGAAGAUUCCUGUGUUUUCCCAGGUUAUGAAUUAACUUCUUGGUUUUCAUUGAGGGUUAUAUUUAGUUUUGAUUUAAUUUUGAUUCAUAUGUUGACCUUCACAUAUCGGUAACUUACACUUGACUUAAUCAAUACUCGGAGCACAUUCCAUCAUUAGAACGCUGCAAAUUUUGUAGGAGAUGCUGGGCUAUCAAGUCUUUAAUACGAGCCGCCUCCGAUUUCUCAUUACAAGUAUUGGAUGUGUUUCUGAGUAAAAAUGAAACUAUACUUUAAAUGUUUUCAGCGGAAGUUCUCCCUGAUGAUUUUGUUUUAGUAAAAGCAUAGAAAUUAGAGAAAUAUCUUGGUGUAUGUUUGAUGAAAAUCCCUGAAAGGUUAGCAAGUUUAACUUUUGAAGUUUGAUUUUGCAAUGUGAGACGAGCAGCUCCUCCCUAUGUGGUGUGUUAUGAAUUUUCUUUUUAAAAAAUUUGAAAGUAAUUUUAUUCGUGGGGUGGAUAUAUCAUUAGACAAGUCAUUUUAUACCUCUUCUAUAAGAAAAAAAUAUUUGUAUACCGGUAUAUCAUGUUCCAUAAAAAAAAGGUAAUUUGGGGAAUUUAUUUUUCAUGAUAUAUGGGGGAGCUGCUCCCACAUGACGUCAGAAAUUUUGUAAAUACAUAACUCUCUUAUUCUUUGAUUGGUUUUCAUCAAAUCUUUACCAAUACAUUUCUCUAUUCUACUUUUAUUAAAACCAAUUUACCAUCGGGGUGAACAUCCCCUUUAGUAUUAUGCUGCAACAUAUAGUUUCAACAUGUAGCUGCUUUCACAAACCUAAUUACAUACCAAGUGCAUCAGACAUAAUGUUAAAUAAAAAAAAAUCAUCAAUUUAAUUGGAAAAGAUGCCAUGAACAUCAAACUUGUAUCCUGAAAAUUAAUUUCUCCCAAGUAAUCUGAUAACACUUGGAAGUAUAGAGAAACAAAUCGAUUACAAAGACAACAAGAACAUUCAUCUUUUUAUAACAAAAAAGGAUAUUCAUCUUGACUUUGAAAGUUUGGCUUUUUUUUCUAUCAGACUUGUCAUUUCAACAAUGUCCUUGAUUUAUGAUUGCCAUUAAGAUAAAUGAAAUAUUUUUUAAGGAGGAUCCAAAGUUUAGCUAAUAAUUUACCCUAUCCUGCAUAGUUCAAUCAACUCAUACAUUUUUAUCAGUUAUUUCAUUCUUUUCUGUAUAUGUUGGGUUUUUUUUAUGAAGUAGUAGUUCGUUUUUAUUACAAUUUACAUGUUUACAAAGAAAAUUGCAUAUUUUUUUUGUUGCUAUUAUAAUUGUUCCUUAAAUCUUGAGAACAUAUUAGCUGUUCCUUUGCAUAUUUGAUUUGAAUUUUGUAUGCAUUUUAUAUCAUAAUUUUUAUUUCAAGCAAUAAUAUAUUUUUUUGUUUUCAGUACUUUGCUAUUUGCCAUUUGUGUAUUUAGCCACAGUAAGGAAUUGAUUUUGGAUGUUACCAAAAUGGUUCAAGUUGACUUGAUUAGAAACAUGUAUAACUCUUUGGUAAUAAUCUUUUUGGUAUCCUUUUAUGAUUACGGAAUCAAGAGAACAAUUCUUGCCAAAAUUAUCUUUCUCAUAACAAAUAAUAUAUAUAUCUUAUCUCUUUUGGUAGUCACUGUAUUGUAUAUCUAUCUAUUGCAUUUUGAAUAUAGAUCAAACAGCAUGUAUCAUUUUUGGGGGAUCUGAAUAAUCUUUGCAAUAGAUUUGUCACCUGGCGGGCAUUAGGAUUUUCAUGUACCUCAGUUUCCGUUCCCGUUGGUCAGGGCAGAAGAGUGUUAACUCUCACACUCGCCUAAAAUUUUACAUUUGCACACAAUUACGUUAACGCCUUUAUGCCAGUCGUGCAAGCGCAUUCUACCACCCUCCUGCCAGCCAGGAAAAGAAUUAUGUACAGGUGCCGCGGAGUGGAUUUGAAAGUAGGGGGGCCUGACCAUGCAAGAAGUUACAAUCAAAUGUUGAUUAUUAUGUCUUUGUACACGUUUAUUGUAAAAAUGGGGGGCUGAUCUGAAGCACCCCCCCCCCAUUCUGUGGCUUCUGAUCUAAACUGAAAAAAGUGUGCCCAAUAUGAGUCAUUUUAUGUCCAUUUUACUCUACGAUGUCAUAUGUUCAUCAUCAAGUUAUGUUCUUGUAUUAUUCUUCAGUGCAUACCUGUCCCAUAAUAAGUCAGAAUAUUAAAAUAUGAUGACCUCUACAGGCGAUGCUAUCGGUUAAUAUUUGAUUGAAACAUAGGAACAUAUCAUCAUAACUAUAUCAUAUUUUGGACAAGACAGAAAGCUACAAUUAUUUCUUUAAAUGCAUAGUAUUAACUGAGUAUAUAUUAUAAAAAGGAGGGUAACAUGUAUUGAUAAUCAUUUUUCCUUUCAUGUUUCUUCUCCCUCUCUACCUAUAUGUCUGUCAUCUUCUGUCUCCAAAGUUUUCUUAUUACUGCUUUACAAUUUUAACAUUUGUGAGUUUCAGAAGUAUUUAGUUUUUAAUUUAGUGAUUCUAACUUGAUUUUUAAUACUAUUAUUAUGGUGGAUACCGAUAAUGGGGAAAGUUCUUGUCAUUUUUUUGUUUAAUUCCUUUCAUAUAUACAAAUAUUUUAUUUUUACAACAAUAAUGCCAGUGAAGAAUUAUUGCUAUAAAAAGGCUAGACUCCCUUAGAUAGGCAUCCAAUUAUGUAAAUAGGAUUAACUGUAGAUUGUGAAUUAUAACAGUAAUAUCAGGUGAUACAACCAGAGCAUUGUAAUUAUGGAGCUCAAUAUGUAUAAAUAAAAAAUGAAUUAUCA